GGAUCGAAUUGCAGGCAGAUUCUUUGCCAUCUGAACCACCAGGGAAGCCCCUGGAUGGGUGAAAUGGAGCAUGAAGUUUUCAACUAAAAAUGGAGAUGGGGAGAGAAGCUAUUAGAGGAGAUAAUAGAGUUAUUGAGGAGAGACAAAGUGGUGUAAAAUAGUGUCUUGAAAAGCCGCAAAACCAAUUUCCUAUGGAAACGUUGCAUGAUUGCUGGGCAGCUUGCUUGAUCAUGAGUUUUCCUCUGUGUAUGUCUAGCUGUACAGUGCAGGCAUGGAGCUGGAAGAAUCCUGACUAACUCACAGAAUCCGUGGGGAAACCAGGUAUGGGAAAAUAGGCAGUAACCAAUGGAGACUCAGCAGAAGGAACAUGGAGGUCAGAGCGUGGCCACUGCCACUGGUAUAUAUGCUACUGCCCUGCGUGUGCUGUCAAUGGACACAGUCGUCACUGGACUCUGUAGCCACUGCAGAUGGGUUCCAGGGCUGUAAAACUUUGUCAGCUACUACAGAGCUAACCUGACCUUUGCUCUUGGUGUUACUCAUUCAUGAUUUAAAGUAUUGACUGGGACUGAACCAGGAUCACCACUAGCCUAACUAAAACCUUCUCAUAAACUCCUCUGCCAGAGUUUUGUUAUAAUAAAUGUUAUAUAUAAUA